rnacentral:rRNA from 1 species
GAUGAACGCUGGCGGCGUGCCUAACACAUGCAAGUCGAACGGUCUCGCAAGAGAUAGUGGCGCACGGGUGAGGAACACGUAGCUUACCUGCCCUUUACACUGAGAUAACCCUGCGAAAGCAGGGCUAAUAUCGGAUAAGCUCACGGGGAAGAGAUACCCAGUGAGAAAAGCUCCGGCGGUAAAGGAGGGGGCUGCGGCCCAUCAGCUAGUUGGUAGGGUAACGGCCUACCAAGGCGACGACGGGUAGGGGGCCUGAGAGGGUGAUCCCCCACACUGGGACUGAGACACGGCCCAGACUCCUACGGGAGGCAGCAGUGAGGAAUAUUGCUCAAUGGGCGCAAGCCUGAAGCAGCGACGCCGCGUGGACGAUGAAGGUCUUCGGAUCGUAAAGUCCUUUUCUGUGUGACGAGGAAGGACGGUAGCACAGGAAUAAGUGUCGGCUAACUACGUG